rnacentral:rRNA from 1 species
CCCUUAGAUGUCCUGGGCCGCACGCGCGCCACACUGAGUGUCUGAGAUACGAGUCUGCCUAGCCGGCGAGGUCUAGGUAAUCGCUGAAAGACACAUCAUGCUAGGGAUAGAUUAUUGCAGAUAUUAAUCUUGAACGAGGAAUUCCUAGUAAGCGCAAGUCAACAGCUUGCGUUGAUUACGUCCCUGCCCUUUGUACACACCGCCCGUCGCUACUACUGAUUGGAUGUUUAAGCGAGGUUCUCGAACUGCUAGCGACUUAGCUUCGGUGAGGUCGCCGUGUGGGAAGUGAACCUAGCUUUGGUGUCUAGAGGAAGUAAAAGUCGUAUCA